CUGGAUCCGCCGCUGCUCUCAGCCAACUGUCAAUAAAAAAACCUCAACUCACUACACUUUGGAACUAGUAUAGAGAAAGAAAUUAACGAAGGUAGAGUUUAGAGGACUUGGGAAUAGGAACGAAGGUAGAGUUUAGAGGACUUGGGAAUGGGUUCGCUGCUGCCACGCAAACUUGGGUUGAGAAUUUUAACUACUAGACUUGGAAAAUUGUAGAAUUAUCUAACAGCUAGAUCUAAGAAACGGAAAAUACAAUGCAAGCAUGCAUGAUGAAAUAGAGAUCAGACAGAGAGUAAAACUAAAAAACUGAAAUUUACUAGACCUAGUGAAUGGACUUCCUAAAAACAGCUAGACAGAAGAAAAACAUGCAGUGGGGACUAUUUUCCCAAAACAUAAAUAGUACGGAUGAAAAGCUGCAACAACGAAAAUCUGGCUCUAAUUAACAACGACCUUCAUCUCUUCCAACAAUCUAAGCGUAAACAUGUAGAAAACAGAGCAACAAACUAGAUCGGAACAGAGCAUACCUAUUCGUCUUGAAGAGAACUGUGGGAAUAGGCAGAGGAUUGAGGAUGUGUAUGAGAGGGCAAUAGCAAAUCUGCCUCCUGCUCAGGAGAAGCGAUACAUAUACAUGUGGUAAGAAUGCUUUAACCUUACAUAAGCAUGCCCGUAUUGUAUGUUGAUCAAAGGGCUUGGCUGAGAUUCAUAUCUGUUUUGAAUUUGUGAUAUUUUGAGAAUUAAUUAUGUUUUGUAUGAGGAGCUUGAUGCCCAGGAUGUUGACCGAACAAGAGACAUAUAUAAUUAUGAGGAGUAUAUAGACUACCUAUUCCCAGUAGAAACACAGACCACCAAUCUCAAAAUUUUGGAAAGAAGCAGAAGGCCAUUUGAUCUUGUUGUUAAUAUUGUCUUUGACAUUUCUGUAUGUAUGUAUAGCAAUUUGCCGAUGUACUAAGCUGCAAACACGAAAUUUGAAAUUAACCAUUGAUAUGGGAAAAUAGGAAAGUACCUCAACUUUAUCUCUA